AUAUCAAUAAGCGGAGGAAAAGAAACUAACAAGGAUUCCCCUAGUAACUGCGAGUGAAGCGGGAAAAGCUCAAAUUUGGAAUCUGGGUCCUUCGGAACUCCGAGUUGUAAUUUAUAGACAUGUUUUCGAUGGCGGCGUCGGUAUAAAUCCUUUGGAACAGGGUAUCAUAGAGGGUGAGAAUCCCGUCUUUGACCGAUGAUGCGCUAUUAUGUGAUACAUGCUCAAAGAGUCGCAUUGUUUGGGAAUGCAGUGCAAAUUGGGUGGUAAAUUUCAUCUAAAGCUAAAUAUUGGGGAGAGACCGAUAGCGCACAAGUA
rnacentral:rRNA from 1 species